GGGGCGCCUCGGGGGCUCUCGGGGCUUCCCUGUCGCGUCGGCUGCCGGGGGGUGUUCUCCCGCCCUCCGCCGCUCCGCCUACGUCCAGACUCCGCCCGGUAGCUUGAGUUGGGCAAUCUGUAGCCGAGGAAGCGCUACGUGGAGACCGGACUAAGUGGAUGCAGAGCCCUGGAGCUGGGCAACUAGAGGGCGGAUCUUGAAUGGGAUGCUGCACAUUCCUCAUGAGAAACCUGAGGUGGCACUAAAAAGACAGCCGCGGUUUUCCUACUGCCUGCUGCCAAGUUUCUUGAGGGCCCAGCUGUUAAGGGGCUGUGGUUGAGUUUUUCAGCAGGAGCAAGUUACAUAACACCACACCCUUGUCCACAGAGGCUCUGAUGUGACUUUUUAUGCCCCCUUCUUCUCACAAGAUGCAUUUCCCGGAUGGUCCUCGAUCUCUGAAGUCAGUCUUUCUCCUUUGGGGUGUCACUGAACCCUGUGACUCCCAAAGUGUCUCAUCCUGACCCUGAAAGGCACGUCUCGAACCCUGCUGUUCUGAGCUCCAGCCCUCCAGCGACGUCCCUGGAUGCCUCACUGACCUCUCAAGUUCAGCUUCUUCAGAGCAGCAUUCAUCGUCAUGCCCUGAAAGCCACCUCUCCUCUGACCCUGCCAGUGAUUCCAAAAUUAUUGGCAGACCACAAGCUCCAGACCCCAAAGUCUGUUCAACUCUGUCAUCUCCAUCCCUUUGGUCAUCAGCUGCUGAAAGUCUUUCCAGAACGUUUUCUCAGACGUUCCUUCUACAUUCAACUUCCUGGACCCUGUAGCCCCUGAUCCCUUCCCUUCCUUCCUUCCCCAGCUUUGAGUCCAUGCUGCACCAACUCAGGGACUCUUACUAGAGCCCACAUCCCCUUCCUUCUGUAUUUCUCAUCAUUGCUGUUUGACAUAACAUGAACCCAGCCAUCUUCUUUGCUUCAACUGGGAGGCUGAGCAGAACUGAAGAAACUGCACGGAGGGAAGAUAAAAGGAAAAUAGAAUCCUCAGUUCAGUUUCCACUGAGGCCCCAAGAUCAAGGAUGCCAAAUACGAUUGCAUUCCAAAGCAAAUAACUUGGCCCACCUUUCCGUGACUUGUGAAGAAAGUCAGGUUUCCUGAGUUUUAUCUUUCACUUACCUUGAGCUGUGAAUUCUUCCAGGCUGGCACUCCCUCCUUCCCUCCACCUUAGCCAUGUAGGAGCUUCACAGGCAUCUUUGACAGGUAUCUUUUGAAGCCUGUGGGACCCAGACAGGCAUUAGAUUCAUGCCUAGAGGAGAAAGUCUAAUGAGAGGCUGACUGAAGUGAGCUGUGUCUGUAGAGCAGAGGGCUGCAUUUAGGGAAUAGCCACAUUCUGGCCUAUGCCAGUCCAGAGGUGAAUUUUCUCGGGGAUCAACUGUGAAACCCACGGAAGGAAUGUGAGUUUGGGCUGUUUCCAAAGGAAUUCUGACCUGAAGGACUUCCUGCGAUCAGUGAGGUGUCCUCGGCAGAAAGGGGUUGGAAGUUCCAGAGAGGACUGUAGGUGGCUGGAUGGAGGCGAGGCAUUGCCUGAGAUGAAGGAAUUCCAACUGGAAGGGCCCAGCUCGGGGGAAUCCAAGGAGGCCACAGAUGCUCAAAUGAGAGAACAAAUGCCAAAACAUGAGCCAGACCAAGAGGGAAGCUCCACCAACUUCUGUUUGUGUCAGUCAAACAAGGCCUUCCUUUCCCUUGCCUUUCUUCAGUCUCUGCUGUGUCCUGGAAGACCCAGUGGAAAUGGAGAGGGGUGGAGGAAACUAACAUGAAUGGGGAAAAUAGAGACAAAACCUCCUUUCCCACAGCAGGCCCUUCGUUUGAUAGCAUAUCUAAGCUUGCCGUGAAGUUUUCUUACAGUAGUUCUGGGCAUAUUUAUAAACUAAGGCUGUGAGUUGGGGAUGAAAGGACCAGAGGACAUUUUGCUAUUUGAGAUGAUCAGAGAGCUAGAAGACUUUUCUAGUAUUUCACUCAAAGGGUAGGGAAAUGCUGAACCCAAAGAGGGUAUUCAAAUGGGCAUUGCACGUGAAGAAUAAAGUCAUUUUCUCUUUGCACCCUAGGAACCCAUCUUACUCAAUGAGAUUAUUCAACUCUAUCUCUGAAAUAAUCUUAAUCCACAGCUAGGUCUUAGCCUUCAAGCCCUGGCUAUACAUUUUUUUUUUUUCUGGUGGGUGUGUUCUCCUCUUCUCUACAAAGUUACUUUAGGACUUUCUACCUUCCUUGAUCCCUGAACUUCAUGCUGGCCCCUUACUCUUAGAUGAUCUUGCCUUGGUCUUUGCAGAAAGAUUCGAAUUCAUCAGAAGAAAGGAAACUCUUCAACAUUUCUUCAUCACCAAGUGAAGCUUAGAACCACACUCAAGAGUAUUAAUUUUUAAUUCACACAUGAUAUUGUAAGUAUGUAAGGGAUGGUUCCACUGUUUGACUACAGGUUAUUCUCUUAGGCAGGUAGAAUUUUCCCCCCAUAAUCUUAUUUUCAGUAUUGGUUUGCUUAUCAUCUUGUUUUCAUAUAUUGUAAAAAUAAACUUUUAGCUCAGUUUGAAAUUUGGAAAUUUUCUGUUGGUACUAAAAUUUAGGAGACAAUCUAAAGUCAAGACUUAAUUUAUAUGCAUUGCCUUCUACGAAAUAUGUCCACAAGAUUACCAUUAGUAUGGUAAAUAUUUUACAAUAUUUGAAAUAGGGCAUUUCACGCCUUUGCCACUACCCUUAGAGAGCUUUUCUAGUCUCAAUUCUCUUAUCCCUUCUAAUUACAAUUUCAUUUUAAAAGCAGUCGGGAGCACAUAUACCCUGAGCAUUUAAAUAUGUUACAUUUAAUGUAUCUAAUGAGUUUUAAAUUCCAAUAUAACUAACAAAAAUAAUGAAAAACUGAGUUGCUAAUGGAAGCAUGCUUCUCUAUACAAGUCAUUUACAUUAUCUAAAGGAAUUCUAAGUUCAUUAUAGAAAAUUUGAAAAUUAUAGGAAAGUAUAAAGAAUAAAAUAAAAAUCAGCCAUAAUCACACACUACUUCCAUACUCAUUCUUGAGUUCUUCCAGCCUUUUCUGUUUUUCAAACUGGGUAUAAUAAUGCACACACAUUUAGGAACCCUGCUGUUUUCCCACUGAACAUUCUGUUGAGGCCAUCUUUUUCCCUGUGCUAUUUAAAACCUGAACAAUCGUGUUUUGGUGACAAAACUAUAUUCCUUCAUAUUACAGCCUGUUAUAAUUUUUUGUAUUAUAACGCAUAUUCUACAUAAUAUAAUAAUAUAUAAUCU
rnacentral:lncRNA from 1 species